AACGAACGCUGGCGGCGUGGAUUAGGCAUGCAAGUCGUGCGCGAAAGUUCCCUUCGGGGGGCGAGUAGAGCGGCGAACUGGUGAGUACAAGGUGACUGACCUGCCUCGAAGUGGGGGACAACCCCGGGAAACCGGGCUAAUACCGCAUGGUCUCUGGGGCUUACGAGUUUCAGAGUAAAGCAUUUAUGUGCUUCGAGAUGGGGUCACCUCCCAUUAGCUAGUUGGUGGGGU
rnacentral:rRNA from 1 species